rnacentral:misc_RNA from 1 species
GAUGAAGAACGUAGCGAAAUGCGAUACGUAAUGUGAAUUGCAGAAUUCAGUGAAUCAUCGAGUCUUUGAACGCACAUUGCGCCCCCUGGUAUUCCGGGGGGCAUGCCUGUCCGAGCGUCAUUGCUGCCCUCAAGCACGGCUUGUGUGUUGGGCCUCCGCCCCCCGGCUCCCGGGGGGCGGGCCCGAAAGGCAGCGGCGGCACCGCGUCCGGUCCUCGAGCGUAUGGGGCUUCGUCACCCGCUCCGUAGGCCCGGCCGGCGCCCGCCGGCGACCCCCCUCAAUCUUUCCAGGUUGACCUCGGAUCAGGUAGGGAUACCCGCUGAACUUAAGCAUAUCAAUGAGCGGAGGA